GAGGAAUCAGUGGGAAAUCGUUCAUUUGGUGACGCGCUGAUCAGGACUGCACGCUUCUGUGGCUCCCACUUCUGCUCCAAGAUUCUUUGGAGAUCAACCAGCAUCAUGAAGACCCAGGAAGCCAGAAGCAGGUCAAGAAAAAGAAGAGAAAUCAUCGCCUUCUCUCUGUCCUGAUCUGCGGUGUGAGCGCAGUUGGAGAUGAACAUGCCAGCAGGGCUCA